CCAUAGACCCCGAUUCAUCCUCCUGGCUCCUGCUCCACCCAGCGCCGCCACCCACUCCAUCUCCGGCCGCCGGAGCUCAUCCUCUCUCCCGGACGGGCGAACUGCUGCUCUCCUUAUCUUUCCUACCCGUCUCCCCUGACACGCCCCCAACUCGCUCUUGCUGUAGCCCUAGCUCGCACCGCCACCGCACGCCCCGCCGAUCCAAUAAUCGGAAACCACGCCCAGGAGCUCAUCCUGUGCCGCUUCUGAACCGCCUGGUUGCCGUUGCACCGAUUCCCCCAUCCCUCUGCCAUGCCUCUGCUAUCACCGUGACUCCCGCUGGCGAGGCUCCGCUCACGCCGCUGCUUUCCUCGACGGCCCCUCCCCGCCACUGCAGCGCGAUGGAUAUCGUUACCAACAUGUUGACGAACUCCUUGAUCAAUCUAUGAUCCUGAAGGACUCGCUUGGCUACCAGAUAUAUUGCAACAUGGCUUUCUCUGUUCAAUUGUUGUGGCUGUCUUUGUCUUCCUUCUAACGGAGGUGUCCUCACCUGAACUCCAAGGAAACCAAGUUACUUGGUGUGAUGGAGACCAAUACAUCAAGUAGGAAAGAUAAAACUAUGAAACAACAUGUUUCUGCUUUGUGUUUUCUGAUUUGUUCACACACUGUUUAAUAGUUCCCAUGAAAAAUGUUUACUGAAAUCUUUGUAAGUUUGGACCAAUGAAUUGCUUUUGUUGGAAAUCUUAUGAAUUCAAGCAUAUGUAUUGGUAGUUUUUAUCUCUAUGCUUUUGCCUUCUGUACAUGCUGACUUGCAAACAGCUCAACAUAGUAUUAGUAAAUCAUUUUAUAUUGUCAGUUAUGCUUCUCUUUAUAUAUAAUACUAUUCGAAGGACAUCUGGCUGAGUUCUAAUAAAAAUCUUCAGGUUUGUAUGAUGGGAUCGUCUUCAGAAAAGAAGAUUUGUGUUGACUACUGACAAGGACAGCCACUAUGAUAGCUACUAUUCGAAGCCCAUGUUUCAUUAUGCAGUCAUGCAGGUCACAAAGGCUAAUGUAAUCAGUUUCUUCGCACGAUUGCUCAUUGUCCAAUUGAUUGGUCAGAACAAAUGUACAAGGCACUGCAGGUGGAGACUCCAAAACAUUGAUGUUUGUUCAAAUUAGCCCAAGGAAACUCUCUGCUCGCUGAACUUUGCAAGCAGAGUGAGAGGUCAAUUUCUGCAAUUUAUUGUCUAGAUAGAAGGGACAUGGGAGGUUGAGGUGAAACUGGUGAGCAGCAGCAGCGCUUCCUUGAUUGCAUGUACGACCGACAGGAGAAGGGAAAAGUGCAGGGAGCUUGGAGGUUUAUUUUACAAGGAAGAAAGGAGAGCAAUGCUGUUUUAGUUGUUGUCAGUGACGAGUUGAGAGUUUUUAUCCCAGCAAUAUUUGUACCAAGUUUUGCAAACUUACUUCCAUCAAGUCAUGCUGGACAUGAACUCCACAUGAAUCACCCUCCUUUGCAACAUAAAAAAGCAUCGAGCCCCUCUACGGAAGCCACGCCUGAAUUGCAAAUUCUGGUGCGAAAUUAUCUCACUGGAAGGCUCCAAUCUUGCCAUUCUACCAACUUCGCUGGGACGCCGACCACCCACGCUUCACCUGAGAAAAUGAACCACAACGAUGAAUGAACCACUAUUGAGGAUUUUGAUAAUCGGCCUUUAAAAAAUACAUUCUGAAUCAUGUGUUUCCAAUUCAGAUAAACUGAUAGAUGGUGAUGAAGAUCCAUCACCAACUAUCUCAACAUCAUCUCCGGUUUCUGAAGUUCUGAAAUGAUUGGUCAGAACCAGAUAGACACAUAAACCUCCGUCACCAACCAUCUCGACAUUAUCUCUGUUUUGUGAAUUGAUGAAUAAAGGAAAAGUUUCAUUAGAUUCUAAUCUGCACCUUGCUUAAAUCCUACUCCCUCCGCCCCAAAAUAAGUGCCAUUGAGUUGGUACUUUUCUGAAAUAAUCUUCUCGAGAUUUCAUGCUAACAUGUGGCUUCGUCAGUAGAUUAUGUCAGGAAAUCAAAGUCAGUUUCCUCAUUGUGGAAUUACUUCUUAUUUGCAACUGAUUGGUGUUGGACCGGAUUAUACAUGCUCCUCUAUGUGCUCUACUUAUGGAAAAUUGUACAUGGAAAUACAUAGAUUGGAAUUGAGAUUUGGAGCAAUUUGGUUGGUUUUGCUUUGUACUGAUGCUGCCAUUAUUUGUGUGGUGAUGCCAUUAUUGUACAGAGGAAAGGUACAGUGAGAGAGAUGGAUAGAAAUUGCUAGCUAUUUUUGUUGCAA